GAGGGUGUAGCUCAGUGGUAGAGUGCACACCUAGCACGCACGAGGUCCUGGGUUCAACCCCCAGUACCUCCG
rnacentral:tRNA from 1 species